rnacentral:tRNA from 1 species
GCCUGGGUAGCUCAGUUGCUAGAGCAUCAGACUUUAAAUCUGAGGGUCCUGGGUUCAAGUCCUUGUGCAGGAA